AUGCCGUGAUGAGGGCACUUUCGUAAUAGCUCUUUGACUUGCUCACAUAUCUUAUAUAAAGAUUCUUCAUCAAGUUGCUAAAAUGAAGUGAUUUCAUUUUGGAUCUU
rfam:Gossypium raimondii chromosome 10, whole genome shotgun sequence.